rnacentral:lncRNA from 1 species
UUGUAUUCCAAAUCUGAAUGUUGGGUUGGUGGAGGUCUCCUCUGGCCCCUGGUCGUACCUGUGUACCUACCUCUGUCGUUGACUGCAAGUCAAUGGACUCCUUUGUGUUUCUGCUUUCUGUCCUUUAAAAAAAGAAGGGAUUUCCAUAAUGUCCACCUGGCAGACAAGGACAAUAAAUAUUUGAGUAACUUGAAAAGUGAACAAGGUUUAAUGUCCAGGGUGCAACACAGAAAGAAUGACGUGUCUCACUUCCUCCAGUUAUUCCUGGAACUCAUUCAUUUACAUGUCAAAAAAUGUCAGUCUCUGAAUAAAGGAGGACAUUUUCACCAUUCCUUUUUUACUCCCUUACGCGGGUCAUGUAUUAUUUAUUUAGCCGAUGCUCUUCUCCAGAGAAACGCAUAAAAUACGUAUUAACCUAUUGCUUUACAACGAUUUAUCCAUUCAAACUGCAUAUUUUUACCGUUUCAGUUCAGGCUAAAUUUUGCACUCAGUAUUGCAGCAGGUGGGAGUUUCGAACCCGGGUCCAUCACGUGCCAUGUGUGACUCUAACCACUGCAUUGUGCACCAUGUUCUCCUUAACUAUCCAACAGUGAUUUGGCUGAUGUGGGAGUUGGGCUUGGUGUCAAAUGUUCAUUUUUUCCCAAAAUUUCUCGCCUCACUAACUGACUAAACUGGUAUUUGAAAUCCCGGGAAAUUAAAAAUCAUUAUUUUGGUAGUAGUCAUUUAAUUACAUUAUGUUUAUGAAUAUAUAGUUUGUCCUGUAAAUUUUGUGUUAACCAGUAUGAUACCCACAUCCGUGUAACCAGUUUAUUCCGGUAAUAAUGGAUUAUUACAGUGAGGCGCGAUGACGAUCCUCGCGCUGUCGCAGCCCGCGAAGACUUGGCCGUUACCUCGGCAACGGCUCGAACCGGCACCUUCGGGCUGCUACGCAGGACGACCAGCGCGAGACACGUCAGAGCGCGCGGCUCGCUCAAAAGGCGGGCGACGCGCGCACUGCAGGCAGUCUCUAUGCAGAGCGGCGCGCGCGACGAUGGCGAGUGCUGUGUUCGCGCUGCUCGUGCUCAGCGCGGCCCUGGCCCGAACCGCGAGCUCGCCGGCGGCCGCCAACGGCACGCGCAGUCAGCUCGAGGUGCCAAAGGCAAGUCCAGGGACUCCUGGUACCCCAGGCACCCCAAAGCUGAAACUGAAAGAAGAGGAGGUGUGGAGUACUCUCAAGGAGGGAGAACAGGCUGAGAGGACACUGGCCACUACUAUCCAGGCACGGAGGGGGAGAGCAACUUCAUCUCCCACAAAGAAAGUGCCCCGUCCCUGUCCUGGCUGCUUCUCAGUCAUAGGAGACCCACCUAUGAUGCGGAUGGGCUGAUGCGGUGCUGACGUUGAGAAGUGUGUCAGGGAGAAAAAUGACCAGCAUCUUCGGCAUACAGAAUGCUUUUACACAACUUUGGACAACUUGUAUAAGUCACCUUUAUCAAAUUGAUAACCUCUUUUUUAGUGCUCAUUUUGUCUGGUCUAAUCAGUUAUAUUGUUCAACUGAGAUAUGUCUGUUAUAGUUGGUAGCCAUUAAUAUCCAGUUUUAAGCAGCAUAGAUCAUGGUGUAGAAUAAUUAGUCUUACUGGCAGCAGACAAUAAAAUGUUUUAUGCAAUUCA